rnacentral:rRNA from 1 species
GAUGAACGCUGGCGGCGUGCCUAAUACAUGCAAGUCGAGCGAAUGGACUAAGAGCUUGCUCUUAUGAAGUUAGCGGCGGACGGGUGAGUAACACGUGGGUAACCUGCCCAUAAGACUGGGAUAACUCCGGGAAACCGGGGCUAAUACCGGAUAACAUUUUGAACCGCAUGGUUCGAAAUUGAAAGGCGGCUUCGGCUGACACUUAUGGAUGGACCCGCGUCGCAUUAGCUAGUUGGUGAGGUAACGGCUCACCAAGGCAACGAUGCGUAGCCGACCUGAGAGGUUGAUCGGCCACGCGGGGACUGAGACACGGCCCAGACUCCUACGGGAGGCAGCAGUAGGGAAUCUUCCGCAAUGGACGAAAGUCUGACGGAGCAACGCCGCGUGAGGGAUGAAGGCUUUCGGGUCGUAAAACUCUGUUGUUAGGGAAGAACAAGUGCUAGUUGAAUAAGCUGGCACCUUGACGGUACCUAACCAGAAAGCCACGGCUAACUACGUGCCAGCAGCCGCCGUAA